rnacentral:ncRNA from 1 species
GCCCUCGCUGAUGUGCGACGGAGUCCGAGGCGGUGCCGGAAAGAGUUUUUCAGACGUCCAUCGCACCGUGUGGGACUGCAACGUCCACACACGGCCCGAACACGGGAGAGAACGCUGAGCGUUACAAC